ensembl:lncRNA
AAAAAAGAUUUGUGUGUGAUUUACAAGUACAAAAUACUGCGAGUUUGCUUUGGAGAAGUGCAGACAGAGGAGAGCUUAAGUUUGACAAGGUACCAAAGCAAAUCAUUUGUACUGUACAAAUAAUGUAAAUAUGGCGGUGUAUCACAAAAGAUUGAUAUCAAACUGAUCACUUGACCCAUAUUACGUUACUUGCUCUUCAAGUGAAUCAACAAAUGGCGAAAUGUAAAGCCGAACAACAACAAUGCUGUUUUUAAAUAGUCUUAGCUUGCAUGUGUGUUUAUGUCACAUUUUUAGUUGUUACCCUCCACGGCUAAACAAGCUCUCUAAAUCGGUUUCAGUUAUGUACUGAUGAACAUAACAAUGGACAUAAGGGGCUUCUUUCAAAGAAAAAACUCAGACUUGAGGCUGCAAUGGAUAGACACGGAGAAGGUGCCAUUCAGCUGUAUGUCCUGCAUGUGGGUUCCUGGUUUCAUUUUCAUCUCAUCUACGACCAGACUGACGGACUGGCUGUGAUACUUUAUGGUGACAGAGGGAAGCUUGCUGCGAUAUUCCUGCAGAGGAUGAUGAUGGAGUUCUUCAGGGACUGGAUUCACAGGCCUGAGUGACCAAGACCAUCAGUGACCUGAUGCAGAGAGCAGCUGGGAACCUCUGUGGGGCCUUCAGCAUCCAACAGUGCCUGCACACAUUAAAUGUUGUAGAUGUUGUUUAAAAUUCAAUAAUGAAAUAAUUAAAUGAAAUAAUUAAAUGUUAUCUUUCCUUGUUAUUAUUCCAUACAUUCAUUUUCAUCCUGGACAGAGCCC